UAGGUGAGGUCCCUCGCGGAUGGAGCUGAAAUCAGUCGAAGAUACCAGCUGGCUGCAACUGUUUAUUAAAAACACAGCACUGUGCAAACACGAAAGUGGACGUAUACGGUGUGACGCCUGCCCGGUGCCGGAAGGUUAAUUGAUGGGGUUAGCGCAAGCGAAGCUCUUGAUCGAAGCCAUCAUCAAGGGAGCGCUGACGAUUCAUCUCAAGGAACCGAUCGGUAUCAACCAGCACCUGCGGCGGCGAAUACUCUUCCGGGAUCAGGAACAGUUUCCAGCGUUUGGUGCGCAGACCAACGGUGGCACGGCUGGAAAUCACCGAAACAAACGGUGACAGGAUCAACGAGAAGACAAUCGGUGCCAGCCAGAACAGGAAACGCAGAUCCAGCCACGCCAUCCCAACAGCCCACACUAACCCUAACAGCAGCUGUGAGCCGUGGCGUUUGAACGCUUCACCCCAGGAAGUGGAGUCAUCAUCACGCUGCGGUGAAUUCCACACCACUUCCCAGCCAAGGAACGCGCUGACAACGAAGACCGUAUGGAACAGCAUGCGUACCGGAGCCAGCAGCACGGAAAAAAGCACUUCCAGCAGCAACGAUAAUGUAACGCGCCAGAAGCCGCCGUAUUCUUUCGUUCCUUUGCACCAGAUAAGCAAAAUGCUCAAUAACUUCGGCAGGAACAACAGCACCAUGGUCGAAGCAAAAAGUGCAAUCGCCAGCUCAGGACGCCACUGCGGCCACACUGGGAACAACUGCCGUGGUUGCAGGAAGUAUUGCGGUUCGGUCAACGCAUGCACUACCUGCAAUGCAGUAGAGAGCGCGAGGAACAUAAACCACAGCGGAGCGGAGAGAUAAGACAUCACGCCCGUCAGGAACACCGCACGGUGAACCGGGUGCAUACCCUUCACCAGGAACAGACGGAAGUUCAUCAGGUUACCGUGGCACCAUCGGCGGUCACGUUUUAGCUCAUCAAGCAAGUUAGGCGGCAAUUCUUCAUAAGAACCCGGGA
rnacentral:rRNA from 1 species